rnacentral:rRNA from 1 species
AUUGAACGCUGGCGGCAGGCUUAACACAUGCAAGUCGAGCGGGGGAGGUUGCUUCGGUAACUGACCUAGCGGCGGACGGGUGAGUAAUACUUAGGAAUCUGCCUAUUAAUGGGGGACAACAUCUCGAAAGGGAUGCUAAUACCGCAUACGCCCUACGGGGAAAGCAGGGGAUCACUUGUGACCUUGCGUUAAUAGAUGAG